rnacentral:rRNA from 1 species
AGAUUGAACGCUGGCGGCAGGCCUAACACAUGCAAGUCGAGCGGCAGCACGGGUACUUGUACCUGGUGGCGAGCGGCGGACGGGUGAGUAAUGCCUAGGAAUCUGCCUGAUAGUGGGGGAUAACGUUCGGAAACGGACGCUAAUACCGCAUACGUCCUACGGGAGAAAGUGGGGAUCUUCGGACCUCACGCUAUCAGAUGAGCCUAGGUCGGAUUAGCUAGUUGGUAGGUAAGCCUACAAGGCUACGAUCCGUAACUGGUCUGAGAGGAUGAUCAGUCACGACUGGAACUGACGACCGACGGUCCAGACCUCCGUACGGGAGCAGCGAGGUAGGGAAUAGUUCGGAACAAGUGGGGACGAAAGCCCGUAGACUACCGACGCCAAGUCGGACCGUCGUAGGUGGUA